UGUUGCAAGCUAUGGCAGAAGCAUUCAUGUCGUGACCAUGUCAGAUUCCAACAAAUCUGCAAAUUCUGCU
rnacentral:lncRNA from 1 species